AUUGAACGCUGGCGGCAGGCUUAACACAUGCAAGUCGAACGAAGUGGCGAACGGGUGAGUAACGCGUAAUCAACCUGCCCUUCAGAGGGGGACAACAGUUGGAAACGACUGCUAAUACCGCAUAAUGAAGGAGGGGAUUGCGUCUGAGUAGCUAGUUGGAGGGGUAACGGCCCACCAAGGCGAUGAUCAGUAGCCGGCAUGAGAGGAGGAACUGCCACAUUGGGACUGAGGCACGGCCCAGACUCCUACGGUAGGCAGCAGUUGGGAAUCUUCCGCAAUGGACGAAAGUCUGACGGAGCAACGCCGCGGGAGUGAUGACGGCCUUCGGGUUGUAAAGCUCUUUUAAUCGGGACGCGGUACCGGAAUAGAAAGCCACGGCUAACUACGUGCCAGCCGCCGCGGUAAUAC
rnacentral:rRNA from 1 species